GACGAACGCUGGCGGCGUGCUUAACACAUGCAAGUCGAACGGAAAGGCCCUGCUUUUGUGGGGUGCUCGAGUGGCGAACGGGUGAGUAACACGUGAGUAACCUGCCCUUGACUUUGGGAUAACUUCAGGAAACUGGGGCUAAUACCGGAUAGGAGCUCCUGCUGCAUGGUGGGGGUUGGAAAGUUUCGGCGGUUGGGGAUGGACUCGCGGCUUAUCAGCUUGUUGGUGGGGUAGUGGCUUACCAAGGCUUUGACGGGUAGCUGGCCUGAGAGGGUGACCGGCCACAUUGGGCCUGAGAUACGGCCCAGACUCCUACGGGAGGCAGCAGUGGGGAAUAUUGCACAAUGGGCGGAAGCCUGAUGCAGCAACGCCGCGUGCGGGAUGACGGCCUUCGGGUUGUAAACCGCUUUCGCCUGUGACGAAGCGUGAGUGACGGUAAUGGGUAAAGAAGCACCGGCUAACUACGUG
rnacentral:rRNA from 1 species